UGCCAGAAUUUCUCUGUCAGGAAGC
rnacentral:piRNA from 1 species